UUUACUCCAGACUAUAAGUAAAUAAAAAACUACAAGAAUCGACUCCUUCAGCUCAGAAUGCUUCCAGAACAUGCUCCAGCCCCUAGGCCCAGGUUAAGGAAGUCUGUACUGGCACCUUCUAGGCCAAAUGGAAGCCACCCUUGGCCAUCUACAGGCCAGGCCUGGCCACUGGGACUAUAAGAAGACUCCAGAAAAUGGGCAGGGUGAAGCCAGGGAGAGAAGACACUGGGGGAGGGCACCUCACGUCCAUCUCCUGCCGGCACUUUGGACUUCUUUCCCCUCCACUUUGUUGGUGGGGGUCUUUCAUCGCUGGACUUCCUCCCCAGAUCCCAAAGAUUGACCCUUAUAUCCUACCACUGAGUGGGAUGAGGUGUCUCUUAGCAAAUGACCAGAACGGUGACAUCCAAGCCCUUUGCAUCUCUCCCAGAAUUCCGUUUUUCAAAGUUUGGUAGGUCCAAGACUGUCUUUGGUUUAGAGAACCACGUGGUUCAGAAAAAUGAAAAAAGGAAACCCCAAAACUGACCCAAGGACUAUCAGCCUGGCCUGACACCCCCACCAGCUACAAGAGGACCAUGCUACAAGACGGAGGCUCCUGCCCCUCCCCUCCUGCCUUAGUAUACCAACCUAGAACUCUGCCUUCACACCAGCCCAAAGCAUGUCCCCUGGACACUCACCUGGGAACCUCAGGAGACAUGCUCCACAGGUUUUCAAUAUCGUCUCCAUCUACCCUCCUCUUACAUAUCUGUAUUUACACCGCCAGAGUCCAGAGCCUCCCACAACUCACAAAUCCCUGAGACACACACACAUACAUGCACGUGGACUCUAAGCAGCCAUUUCUCAUGUCUGGACUUAGUUUCAUCUGCUGAAACCCUGGACCCUAUUCAUUCCCAUCUGAUCCCUUCCACCUUGCCUGGUCCUGACCUCAUCAUCCUGUCCCAGUGCUAAUCUUCAAGAGAGAAGAUCUGGCCACCCUCCUUCCAUGCGGGCCCCAAAAAGGGGGAUUGGCCCCUUCAGAUGAACACACACAUCUGUGAGGGGCUGGUCACCAGGUCUCAAGUCUGUCAUUGGAGCAGAAGAGGGCAAUUCUCCCCAGGGAGUUUCCUUUCUGCUAGAUAAGAAGAGCUUUUGUACUAUCAUCCAAGAGGUCUGGGUGGGUCUCAGGCUAGGCCCACUAACUGCUGACCCUUGACCUCUGACCUUCAUUGGGAAGCCCCUCUACUGUGACACACUUUCCCUGUUGAUCUGCCCUUUUCAGAGUGGGCGCAGCUGAGAAAACUGGGCACCUAGGAAGGAGGGAGGGAGGGACUUUAACCUGCAUCGCGUGGCCUGGGCAGCCGUCUCUACCCCUGUGCCCCCAGCCCUGCCAGGCAGGCCCCACCUCUGCAUUACCUCUGACCUCCAGCACUGUGAGCACAGCCUCGCAGGAGGCCUGGCCCCGCUCAUUCUGGGCGCUGCAGCUGUACACACCGGCGUCCUGUGCCCCGCAGCUCCGCAGCCACAGGCAGCUGGGCUCUGGGGCCGGUGUGGGCAGGAGCUGCCCAUCCCGGAACCAGCUGAGGUUAGGCUGGGGCGUCCCGCUCACUACCACCCGCAGCCGCACAUCAUUGCCCGCACACACCGCCGCGUUCUUCAGGGGCCGCAGGAAGACCGGCGCCCCGGCCCCUGCCCCGGUGGGGAGGACCCCUCUGCCGGCCCCCACCUUGGCUCUCUUCGGGGGCACCCCGGGGCUGGGAGGUGCCCUCGUGCCGGCGUCCUCGCCUCGCGCGCCCCGGCCUUUCUGCAUGGCCUCUGUGAUCUGGACUUGGGGGACCGGAGACGCUAGAACUGGGUGACCAGAGGGACGCCCCGGGGGGUAUGGUGCCUUAGGAGAUGGGUCCUAUGGGGCCGGCGGCCGGCCUUCCUGCUGCCCGCCCGCCCGCCUUCGGCCUGUGCUACCCAGAAGGUCACCAGGGCCGCCGGCAGUUGCGCCUCUCGGGGACUAUUUUUAGGCCCCCCGGCUCGGGUUGCGAAUGAGCAGUAGAGGGAGGGGGCAGCAGAGGAGGGGACUUGGACUCCAUGUGGCUCCUUCUGUCUCUCCCAGUGCCCCCAUCGCCAGCGCUGGCCUGAAAGAAUCUCCUCCCCCGCGGUAUGUCUGUCCUCCCCCAACCCCGCCCCCAGCCUGCUGGACCUGGGGAGUCGAGUUACCCCUGCCUGGGCUCAGGCCCACUUCCUUUCUUCAGCCCCAGCGCCCCAGCCUCACUAGGCUGCUGGAGAGGAAGGGGAAAGGUCCAGAGGAGAUGUCUGAGAGGUGCGUGGAGAGACAGGCCCCAGUGGAGGUGAGCAGAGGGACCGGUGGGCUCUCCCAGCACCUCCAUUACAGCUGGUAAGCACCGAGACCCAUAUCCUGGAGUUCGGGUGGAUUUCUGGGCCCUAGCUGGUCCUGCGCUCACUACCAGCACCAGCCCAGCUUCACUGCCCAGCCCACCGCCAACCCUCUCACAAUCUACCCCGCCCGGGGAAGAGGUAGUUGACUAGGAUGGUAACCAGCAGCCAAUAGCAGCAGCAAGGGCAGUGGAGCCGGAGGGACAGCUGGAGGAGAACAUGGUAGAGGUGGGGUUUGGAGGGCUUGAACUGCGUGGAUGAGGGCAAAGCUUGGGUUGUUAAGGACUCCGUUCUGAAGGCAGGAAGCGCGACGACUGAUUUCAAGCUGUAGUAGAUGAUUCUUUUGUCCAAACUUGUGGAUGUUUCACACACACACACACACACACACACACACACGCGGGGGGGGGGGUAGAGACAGGUGCCCAAGCCACUAGACACAAGUUGCAACCCCUCACCAUCUUCCCAGGUGCCCAAUUUUCUCAGCUGUGCCCACUCGGAAGGGCAGAUCAACAGGGAAGGGCAGGGAAAGUGUCAAGGUAGAGGCUUCCCACAUGGAGGUCAGAGGUCAAGGGUCAGUAGUUAGUGGGUCUAGCCUGAGACCCACAGAGACCUCUUGGACAAUAGUGCAGAAGCUCUUCUCACUAGUCCAGUAGAGAGAGUAGAGAGAAACCCCUGGGGAGACCCAUACAAACAAGAGUGCAUAUAAAUCUGAUAAGCUGGAUAUGCCAUGCCAAUGUCACUUUCCUGAUAUUCAUACAAGGUGUCACCCCUGGAAAAACCCGAGUGAAGUGUCCAGAAUCUGUCUGUGUUAUUUCUGACAAGGGCAUAUUAAUUUACAUUUCUAAACAACAACAAAAGAAAUUUAAGGUAUACAGUCCAGGGAAUACCACAGUAUUAGAGGGCUUGCAUAGGAUUUCUGAACGCCUCAGUUCUGUUUGCAGUCAUACACACACACACACACACACACACACACACACACACACACGCCCUUUUAGAGAUCCAGACCUGACUGUGAACUCUAAAAGGAUGGACCCUGGGAAGAGCUGAAAGCCAGGGUCACUCAGAGAUGGGGGUAAGUAUUCUUGUCUUCUUGGUUGGUUAAAUGAACCAUCUUCAUUCUGAGAAACUGAAGUCAAAGCGUGCAUGUGUGCAUGUGUGCUUGUUUGUGUGUGUGUGUGUGUGUGUGUGUGUGUGUAGGGGCGGGCAUGCGUGUGUGCAAUGGUGCUUGUGAGCGUGAGCAUGCAUUCCCAGGCGUGCAGUACAGAAGAAACAAUUUUAACACUGAAUUAUGUCCAUAAAGAUUAAGAGCCUUAGGGAAUGACUUUUCAUGUAGUUUGCAUACAUUAAAGCUGACUCUUUGUGAUGUGCAGGUCCGUGGGUUUUGACAAAUGCAUGAAAUUGUGUAUUUGCUACCCCAGGAACAUACAAAAGCAGCUCCAUCACCCUAAAUAUUCACGUGCGCUUCCUCUUUGUAGGCAGCCACACCCUGUCUACCGGUCCCUGGCAACCUCCAGUGAUGAAUUGAAUUCUACAGUGGUCUACAGUCGCUGGCGCCCUCUCCUGGACCAGGCUGUCCCAGCUGAGACAACUAGAAAAGAGAAUUGGAGCUAGCCUGAGCCUGGCCUUCGGGUUAUGGAAGCCUCGGAAGGUCUGUUCCCUUCUUGGUGUACACAGUCUUGUAGCAAGCUCCACAGCGUCUCAAGGAACGGGGGAAGAUCUUGCUGUGGAAGCAAUUGGGGUGGCCCUGGUUAAUUUUCCGCGAUGGGCAGAAUAGUGGCCUCUCGUCUAGGACUGUUUUCAGGUCUUGCUGAGAUCAUCUUGUGACGGACUGGGCUCCCAGCACCCUCCCCUACCUACCCUACCUAAGUCCUCACCGGCUCUCCUCGCCCUCCAGCAGUUUCCGGUAGGUGGCAAUCUCCACAUCCAAGGCCAUCUUCACAUUGAGCAGGUCUUGGUACUCCCGCAGGUGGCGGGCCAUCUCAUCCUUCAGAUGCCGGAUCUCCUCCUCCAGGCGCGCAAUGUUAUCCUGAUAGCCACUGGCCUCGCUGGCGAAGCGAUCCUCCAGCUCCCUCAUCUGCCUCAUCAGGGAGUCAUUCUGCAGGGGAUGAGGGGGCCCAAGUCAAGGACAGUCCCAGAGCAGAGCUAGGAAGGAGAGCACCAGAGAAUCAGGGUGGGAAGAAACCCAGUGUUGGAGGCAACUCCUCAUGGUCAUGGUCAGGUAGAAGAAUCAUCAAAGCCCUCUUCCUUAGCUAUGGAACCCUGAGAAGUCUUAUGUGGUCAUUCAGAACAAACCACCUAAUAAGGAGCGUCUAUACUAGCCCUCCAACCCUACACAGGGAGACACCCCCGGGAGUCCUCUGAUUCCUUAGUAUCCAACUAGGAAUCCACCCGUCUGCCUUUACCUCCCUGUACCUCCUUUGAGGAGAUGGAGGCCCCAGAGGGUCUGUAAUGGGCUCAAAGUGUCACAGAGGGAGGAGGGUGCGGAACUGAGCUGUGGGCAGAAAGAGGCCGAGCUUGUGGGCAUGGGGAGGGACUCACGGUGCCCUUGAGGGCAUCAAUCUCGCAGGUGUAGGACUGGAUCUGAUGCCGGUACUCCAUCAUCUCCUGCUUGGCCUGGCGCAGUGCAUCAUUGUUCUUGUUGGCUGCCUGGGUCAAGUCUGAAACCUGAGGGCAGAGAUGGAGAGAAGCAGGCAGGAUGCAGUGUGGGCAAGGGAGUGUGGAAGUUCCAGGCUCACCCUACUCCACGGAUGCAGGUCCGGGAAGCACCUCACAUGGAGACAGAGGACGGGGGCCAGAGCCCCUCGGCCAGAGCACCUACCUUGGACUUGUACCACUCUUCAGCUUCAGAGAUGUUCUUAGCCGCGAUGGUCUCGUACUGAGCCCGGAUGUCCCUGAGGGCCGCUGUGAGGUCUGGCUUGGACAUGUCCAUCUCCACCUGGACCUGCUGUUCCUGAAGCUGGGCCUGAAGCUCACGGAUCUCCUGAAGGACACAGCUGGGUUUCAGUCCCCUUCCAGUCCCUGCCAGAACACCUCCGCUCCCCCAUUUCAGAGUCAGCCCCUUUUCUAGCUGCUUUCUCCAAUCCCCAAGGGCCCUGGUGUACCUCUUCGUGCACUUUCUUAAGGAACGCGAUUUCCUCAUUGAGUGACUCGAUUCGGCGCUCCAGGUCGAUGCGAGCUAGCGUGGCUGCAUCUACAUCCUGGAUACACGGGGAAACAACAACAUUGGGGUCUGGAACAGCUCAAGUGGAGCCAAGGGGGAGAAAAGAGAGGGAUGCCUGUCGGGGACCAGAGAGGGCUCACCGCUCGGAAGGCAGCCAGAUUGUUCUCUGCUUCUUCCCUCAGUUGGAUUUCCUCCUGCAGCCUAGGCAGGGCAGACAGACAGACAAAUAGUGAGGGAUAGAGCUGUCAAUGGAAACCACUGCCUGGGACCUAUCAGGGAGCCAGCUCAGGACACAGGGACAAGGCCCGGUUGCUAGGUAGAAACAAGAGGCCUGGGGGAAAAAAAAUAGCAGAGGCCCCUCCCACGGGAGGGGGGGGGACAGGAAGUGGCUGGGUCUCAACCCUGGAGCCACACCCUUGAAGUCUAUGUCCCAAAUAGCUUGACCUCCCCGGGGUUAGGAACUGUGUUUUAUUUUAUCCACCUCAGUGUUCUCAGGCCUAGCCUGACCAUGUGGCUGUUAGUUAAAUAAAUGUUUGUGACUUUGGUGGCAA